AUGCUGGCGCCCGUGCGCGGUGAUGGCAUUGUGGCGGAAGAAGGUCUUCUUCCUGGGGAGCCGCGCGCUGGCCGCCGUCUCCACCUGCGGCCACGCCAACCAGACAGAUACGCCGCCGCGCCAUCGACAUAUUCCCUACUCCCGUGCACGUAUGGUCAAGCAUGUAGCGCUUAUCUUGCCCCAUGCGGCCUUGGCAGAUCUCAAUGCUUGCUUGCUAAUGUGCGUGUGUGGAUGUUGCUGGUUGCUGCUGCUGUGCACGUGUGCUUGGUGUGCCCCUGCUGUUUUGUGUUCUCACCACCACAUCCACGACAAAUAAAAUUUCUCCCCGCCUCUCUCCCAACUCACGAGCAGUCUUAUCGAGGCAACGCGACACCGACCAGCCGGCCACAGACGGUGGCAGUGUUCAUCCCUGAAUGUCAAGUUUCAGUUGGCGCAGGUGUACAGCGGAGGUAUAUAUGUGAUAAGGUGAUGUGA
rnacentral:rRNA from 1 species